GCCGGGGCCACGCUCCAGACCGGCCACCGCUCCGGAGCGAGCCCCGAGCCUCCCUCUGCCUGGAGUUGCAGUUCGUCUCCGAUCCCCUUGGGAUUUAAACCUUCUUGCAUAUAUAUAUUUUUUUUCUCCCCCUUCCUCCUCCUCCUCCUCCUCCUCCUGUCUUUUUCUCCCGUGCAAAGUGGAGCAGGAACUGCACCAAGGCAGCCCGCGAGAUCCUGCAAUACCGCUCCGAUUUAUCCCUGCUACUAUUCCUAAUUAAUUAUUAUUUUUGACCUCGCCCCAGCCGGGGAGGGGAGCCCGGGACCCGUUCUCGGCAGGAGAAACAUUUCGCUCCGUAUCAAUAAAGAUUUUUGAUUUUUCCCCUCUCCGAGGAGGGGCCGGGUGGAGGGCAGGCACGGCGGGGAGGGCCGGCCCUCGGCGGAGAGCGCAGCCCCGCGGUCCCGGCGCGGCGCGGAGCGGCGGCCGCGGCGGGGGGAGGCGGCCCCAGCGCCGCCCGCGCGAGGGGGGCAGCCGCCCCAGACAGGUGAUGGGCGUUUCGGCUGCGCUCCGGAUCGACUCCUUGGGUUUCACUUUGGUCUGAUCUAAGCAAAUAUGCAGAAGUACCGGCUGGUCUAGUCCUAAGAGCCAAGAGGAGCGAGCGAGAGCGGCAGAAGGGAGAGCAGCCACGCUCCCGUAGCGAGGGGAACGUACAAACAGCGGCCGCGCCGUCAUUAAACCACCGCCGCCCCGGGCAGCCCCGACCCACCCUGGAUGCGGAGGACCCCCGAGCCACCCCGCUGCCUUUCCCCUGAGGGAUGGUACUGAAUUCCUGCGCGGCAGGAGCCGGCCUGCAGCCCCUCUCCAUCAGCGUUGCCUUCCCUCCGUGUCUAAAGUGCACUAGACCGCGAUGAGGACCUGGGCUUGCGUUUUGCUGAUAGGUUUUGGCUACCUGUCCUUUACCUUCUCCGAGGAGGCCGAGAUCCCGCAGGAGCUCAUCGAGCGGCUGGCGCACAGCGAGAUCCACAGCAUCCGCGACUUGCAGCGCCUCCUGGAGAUUGACUCCGUAGGAUAUGACGAUGUUUCAGAAACAAACUUGAGAUCUUACAGUGUUCAUUCUGCCAAACAUGUGCAAGAGAACCGUCCUGUGCCCAUUCGCAGAAAAAGAAGCAUUGAGGAGGCCAUCCCGGCGGUGUGCAAGACGCGGACGGUGAUCUACGAGAUCCCCCGGAGCCAGAUCGACCCCACCUCGGCCAAUUUCCUGAUAUGGCCGCCCUGCGUGGAGGUGAAGCGCUGCACCGGCUGCUGCAACACCAGCAGUGUCAAGUGCCAGCCGUCCCGGGUACACCACAGGAGUGUCAAGGUGGCAAAAGUGGAAUAUGUUAGAAAAAAGCCAAAAUUAAAAGAAGUUCUGGUGAGAUUAGAAGAGCAUAUGGAAUGCACCUGUACAUCAUCAAAUACUAAUUCAGAUUAUAGAGAAGAAGAAACUGGAAGGCCUAGGGAAUCAGGUAAAAAACGGAAACGAAAAAAGUUAAAACCAACAUAAAACCCACUGGAACUAUUUGAUAUUCAGAUUAACAGGUAUUUAUUGGGAGUAGUAUGAUAGAAGCAAAGAUUUUCUAAAAUUCAACUUUAAAAUGAGCAUGUAAACUCAAUCAAAACAGCAUUUAGAACUUCUUGUCCCAGAUGUAAGGUGAAAAUAAGCUAGAAAAAAAACUUCUCUCUGGGACAUGGAUGUACAUGGUUUGUUACAUUCCUGAACCUACUAUGUAUGGUGCUUAUUGACUGUAUACUUUAUUUGUUCUCCUGUGUGAAAAAAAAACUGGCUCAAAAGAACACUUAAUGAGAACAAAGAGACAAUGUACAUUUGUUUAAUGUGACAUCAAAGCAAGUAUUGUAGCACUCUGUGAAACAAUAGGAAGCUUCCCUGUCCAAAAAARAAAAAAAAAACGAAAGAAAGAAAAACAGAAAAGAAAAAAAAAAAGACAGUUGAAUGAAUGGAGGAUACCAAAAGUACUCAAAAACAUGACAAAAAUCUAAGUGAAUAGUGGAUUUCUGUCAGAGCAGUCAACGGUGCUUUACGUCAAGAAAUGUGCCUGCGUUCUUGAUGAAGAUGGAUGGACACUGGUGGACUUCAGGCACAAAAAAAGCAGGAAUGUAUGAAAUGAUCAAAUGCCACGCAAACACUAUAGAACAAUACAUCCUUGCUUGGUGGUGUUUUAAAAGUCUAUACAAAAAAACCUUCUGGGGAGCCUUAAGUGGAUUUUUUUUUUUACACCAUAAAGUGAUUAUUAAGUUUUCUUUUUACUCUUUGCCUAGCUUUUUAUUAUCUCUUGGACUACAUUUGCCAAUAACACAUAUAAAAGACUGGUAUAACAAUAAGCAGAACACAAAACAUUAUGGUAUUUCUCCUAGUGGGAUGCAAACUAAUGAGAUGUAUUAAAAUAAAAAUGGUAUACCUAUGCAUAAUUUUCUAGACGUUUCUUGGUUUAUGUUCCCCAACCUCCCCCGUAAUUUAAAGCAUUACAUAAAAGAAAAAAAAUGAGAAAAAAAAAGAGAGAUGUGCGUAAACAAAUCAUAGGAUAUCCAUGCAAAAAUCCUUUUUUUUUUUUUUUCUUUAAGACUUAUGCCAGUUGCCUACUAGUGAUAUUGUGUUAGCAAUUGUCAUUCUUAUCAGUAUACAGAUACUUUUAUUUCACAUGUUGGAGCUGUGUGAAAUGUACAAAUUCUUGUAUCUGCAUUGUAUAAUGUCAUGGUGGCAUGGGAACUACCUUGCUGCAAAUAUUUGAACAAAACCUAAAAUUCUUUAUUUUUGGUAAAAUGUUAUGCUUUAUGUGUAUUCAACAGAAAUAUGUGUUUUUGUAAAGGUGAAGUUUGUAUUUUUAUCUAAAAAUUAACAGUUUUAUAUACCUGAGAAAGCCUGCUAUGUUUUCUUGAACCAAAAAAAAAAAAAAAAAAAAAAAAAAAAAAAAAGAAAAAAAAAGCAUUUUGUGGUCAUAUUUUUGUAGUAGAAUAGCCCAAAUAACAUCAAAAUCUAUUUUAACUAUAGCAGGGCAGAUAAAAUACUCUGGCAGCAGCUCCUGUAUUUUCAAAGUGCCAAAGGAUUAAAUGUUCAGUUCCCCACAGAUUGYAGUGGGAGCCACAUGGAUAAAUCCUUCUGUACUGCUUUGGAAAUUUAGGGCUGUGCCAGAUAUGACAUGGCUACUCACUUGGCCAAAAUCACUGCCCCACCCCAGUAGUUUGGAUUAUGUACCCUUUGUUUUAUUUGGAUUAUUACAUUGGAUAUGUAAAAUGAACUACUGGAUUCUUUCAGUUGUGAAACAUCUACAAAGAGAUGAAAGAGUUUUCUUAGUUUGGAACAACAAAARAGUUUGUCUCGAAGACAGUGUUUCCACUCAAAUAAAAAUAUCUUCAAAUGUGAAUGAACUGCAGAACCUUAAAACAACAAAAGAGAGCAAGGUUUUUAACCUUUCCAUUUCUCUAAAUAUAGUUCAGACAUUCCCCUCCUGUUCCUGUAGCUAUGUCCAAAUUCAACCAAACAAAGCAAUGUUAGCUAACAGGCAUUAUUGGCUUCAGAUGCUAAUGCAGAGAUAGAGUUAGUCACCGUUCUAUUUUGUGAUCAUUUUCCCAGUGUAUUUGUUGAGCACCAAAACUGGAAAUACAUUUAACUAAGAUUGUCUGUGCUUGUUUUCCACUAAGUGUACUGUUCACAAUGUUAUGCACAUGAAUGUAUGUGUCUGCGUUUAAAAAAGUGUAUAAAAUGUAAUUUAUAUAUUUAUGUUUCAGUGGGAUGCCAAUAAUGUUGCUCCGUUCCUUUUUUUUUUCCUUU